rnacentral:rRNA from 1 species
UACAGAGGUCUCAAGCGUUGUUCGGAUUCAUUGGGCGUAAAGGGUGCGUAGGCGGCGCGGUAAGUCGGGUGUGAAACCUCCAGGCUCAACCUGGAGACGCCACCCGAUACUGCUGUGACUAGAGUCCGGUAGGGGAGCGUGGAAUUCCUGGUGUAGCGGUGAAAUGCGCAGAUAUCAGGAGGAACACCAGCGGCGAAGGCGGCGCUCUGGGCCGGAACUGACGCUGAGGAGCGAAAGCGUGGGGAGCAAACAGG